rnacentral:rRNA from 1 species
UGAACGCUGGCGGCGUGCCUAAUACAUGCAAGUCGAGCGAACGGACGCGAAGCUUGCUUCUCUGAUGUUAGCGGCGGACGGGUGAGUAACACGUGGAUAACCUACCUAUAAGACUGGGAUAACUUCGGGAAACCGGAGCUAAUACCGGAUAAUAUUUUGAACCGCAUGGUUCAAAAGUGAAAGACGGUCUUGCUGUCACUUAUAGAUGGAUCCGCGCUGCAUUAGCUAGUUGGUAAGGUAACGGCUUACCAAGGCAACGAUGCCUAGCCGACCUGAGAGGGUGAUCGGCCACACGGGAACUGAGACACGGUCCAGACUCCUACGGGAGGCAGCAGUAGGGAAUCUUCCGCAAUGGGCGAAAGCCUGACGGAGCAACGCCGCGUGAGUGAUGAAGGUCUUCGGAUCGUAAAACUCUGUUAUUAGGGAAGAACAUAUGUGUAAGUAACUGUGCACAUCUUGACGGUACCUAAUCAGAAAGCCACGGCUAACUACGUG